rnacentral:lncRNA from 1 species
CAGUGAGGUAGCUCAAGGCGCCGAUGCCCCUUCGCCGCUUUCAUUCUUCUGUUUCUCUCUUUCUUUCUGGUUUUCUUCCCUUUUUCUUCCUUUCCAAAAAAAAAAAAAAAAAAAAAAAAAGGGUCCUGGUCUCCAGAGAGCUCUAAUGUGAAGAGUCCUGGGAUGCUGGAAAGGCUGGACCUAAGGUUAGGAGUGAGGAAGAGGAUGGUGCGGGGGCCGGGAAGAGGCGCAGUGCGAACACAUCAGGGGAGCAAAUGUUACCUAAGCCUGGGACUGCACACAGGAAGGACGGGGCUGGACGACUAUCAAGUGCAACCAAACAGGUGAAGAUUCCAAUCCCAGCCUUGGAUGGUGGUGCAUCCCUUUGAUGUCUUCUCUUGGGUGGCAGAGGCAGGCAGAUCUCUGUGAGUUUGACGCCAGCCCGAGAUCGACACAAGUGAGUUCUAGGACAGCCAAAGCUGGAUGGUGAAACCCAAGCUCCAAAACCAAAACCAGAAGUUACAGUAACAGCAGCCACUGUUCAACACGCAAGCAUCUUCCAGCGUCCACAGCUGGGUUCCUUGGACACUCCACAGUGUCAUGGGAGUUCUCACAAGUCUCCGCUCGCUCGCCUGGAGGACAUCUGAGGGAUUCAAAUGAAGAACUAAGUCUAAGGGUGAACCGGCCAAGCUAUGGAAGGCACCAAAUCUUGAACUUAACAGCACUGAGCCAGGGAUGGUGGACCUCUCCCUUGGGAACCAGUUUGGUACGAACGACAAAUCUAUCUCAUACUGCGAUGUGGGAGGAAAUACAGAUUGUACUAGAAAAGCCUCCUGAAUAAAGGAAGUGCAAAUUAGGUCGUCAGUGAUGAACAGCGACUUAAAGCUACAGUUUAGCUAUUUUCAUCGGCAUCUUCCCACCCACUCCCAAUAUUCUAGUUAUGUACACAAUUUGCCUCAAAGACAGACAGACACACAGACAUAUAGACAUACACAGACACACACGUACAUGUACACAGACACACAUAGACACACAGACACGUACACAGACACACACAGACAUGCACACAUAUAUACACACACAUGCAUACACAUACAGACACAUAGACUUGAACACAUACACACACAUCUCACACACACAUGCACACAUACACACACACACACUCAUAUACAUACACAGACACACACAUACACACACACACACACACACACACACACAUACAUACACAGACACAGACAUACACACACACACAUACAUACACAGACACACACACACAUAUGUUGUACCCAUAUACACAUAGAUACACAGACACACACACACACUCAUAUACAUACACAGACACAC